rnacentral:piRNA from 1 species
UGGACAGAAUCCCUAGGAGUGGU